ensembl:lncRNA
AUGGCGUGGGGUGGGGAUUUCGUAGACGGGUCCGUUAUUGCAGAGAGUACAUCUAUUAUACAGGAUGCAUAUAUAAAUGCUGGUGUUACAGUGACCUGCAAGGAAGACAUCCAGUCCCAGGAAGGCUGGAUAGAAGUGAUUUUGCCAGCUAAACGCAGGCAAGAUCCGAAGCCGGUUGCAGCCAAACUGCUGUUCAUGGCGGAAAACUACAAAGAAGUAGUCCAGAAGCGUGUCGCUUUCCUCAAACGGGGGGAUAUUUGGUCUUCCAGUCAGUCUGGCCAGGAGAAGGGGGUGGUGAAGCAAGGAAUGACCUCUGGUUCACAGAUGGCCAAGAUAGGUGAACAGCUCAAGAGGGACCUCAAACGGCAACCUACAAGACAACUCAGUUCUACUCCUGCUAGAUAUGAGUCUGAUUCUGAUGACACAUGUUGUGAUAUUUUUCAUCCUCCCAAAAAACGAAAAAUGGUGAUUAACACCAGUGAGGAGGAGGAGGACACCAUCCCUCAGGCGGAGUCUCAGCGGCCAGGGACAGUGCCUGCAGUUUUUGUUGAACUGGAUGAGGACAGUUUGAAGGCUCUAAAAGGUGGGUGGGUGUAUAUGUAUGCUAGUGAUGCCAGGGUUAUCUCUGCCACCAUCUGAACCCUCCCAUACACCUGCAGUCAUUGUCAUUGAGGUCCUGAAAUCAACUUUAUGUAUUCAAGACAUGCAUCCCACUGUUAAAGGGUUAGUUUGCCCAAAUAGCAAAAUUAUGUCAUUAAAAACUUACCAUCAUGUUGUUCCAAACCCGUAAGACCUUUGUUUAUCUUUGGAACACAGUUAAAGAUACUCGAACCGUUUAAAAUGAUUCUGUUCGAUCUGGUGA